CAGAUUCAUCAAUCAUCCUCAACUCAAUCUUGAACCUAUACAAAAUGAUUAGAGAUAAAAUUAGUGUAAAUGAUAUUAACAUAAAUAUCCAUCAGUCAAUUUAUUUUACAUCUUUACCUAGGUACAACAGAAUUCACAAGCUCAUUACAUUUCUCAUAGUAAAACAAAGAGCCAUCCGAAACAACUUUCUUGGUGCAUUUCUUGCAAGAGUUAUAAAACCACCUAUGCUCCGUGUCGAUGCUCAUCACCGU
rnacentral:lncRNA from 1 species